CACGCCGUAAACGAUGUACACUAGGUGUCGGGCCAAGAGGUUCGGUGCCGUAGCAAACGCGUUAAGUGUACCACCUGGGGAGUAUGCCGGCAACGGUGAAACUCAAAGGAAUUGACGGGGGCCCGCACAAGCGGUGGAGUAUGUGGUUUAAUUCGAUGAUACGCGAGGAACCUUACCAGGGUUUGACAUCAACGGUGAGUCGCGAGAGAUCGCGGCGCCCUUCGGGGGCCGUUGACAGGUGC
rnacentral:rRNA from 1 species